rnacentral:rRNA from 1 species
CACGUAGGGCGCAAGCGUUGUCCGGAAUUAUUGGGCGUAAAGAGCUCGUAGGCGGUCUGUUGCGUCGGCUGUGAAAACCCGGGGCUCAACUCCGGGCCUGCAGCCGAUACGGGCAGACUAGAGUUCGGCAGGGGAGACUGGAAUUCCUGGUGUAGCGGUGAAAUGCGCAGAUAUCAGGAGGAACACCGGUGGCGAAGGCGGUUCUCUGGGCCUGUACUGACGCUGAGGAACGAAAGCGUGGGGAGCGAACAGG